rnacentral:rRNA from 1 species
AUACGUAGGGGGCGAGCGUUGUCCGGAAUUACUGGGCGUAAAGGGCGUGUAGGCGGCCUGUCAAGUCAGGGGUGAAAGCCCGGGGCUCAACUGCGGGUGUGCCCUUGAGACUGAUGGGCUUGAGUGCUCCAGAGGGCAGUGGAAUUCCCGGUGUAGCGGUGAAAUGCGUAGAGAUCGGGAGGAACACCAGUGGCGAAGGCGGCUGCCUGGGGAGCAACUGACGCUGAGGCGCGAAAGCUGGGGGAGCAAACAGGAUUAGAUACCCUGGUAGUCCCAGCCGUAAACGAUGAGUGCUAGGUGUGAGGGGUAUCGACCCCCCUCGUGCCGUAGCUAACGCAAUAAGCACUCCACCUGGGGAGUACGGCCGCAAGGUUGAA